rnacentral:rRNA from 1 species
GCUUGUCUCAAAGAUUAAGCCAUGCAUGUCUAAGUAUAAAUAGUAUACAGUGAAACUGCGAAUGGCUCAUUAAAACAGUUAUAGUUUAUUUGAUAAUUGAAAAUUACAUGGAUAACCGUGGUAAUUCUAGAGCUAAUACAUGCGCCCAAACCCAACUUCUUGGAAGGGUUGUGUUUAUUAGAUACAGAACCAACCCAGGCUCCGCCUGGCCUUGAGGUGAUUCACAAUAACCGAACGAAUCGCAUAGCUGCCGCUGGCGAUAGACCAUUCAAGUUUCUGACCUAUCAGCUAUCGUCGGUAGGGUAUUGGCCUACCGUGGCAAUGACGGGUAACGGAGAAUUAGGGUUCGAUUCCGGAGAGGGAGCCUGAGAAACGGCUACCACAUCUAAGGAAGGCAGCAGG